CUCCUAAUGCUAUCCCUCCCUCAACCCUCCUCCCCACAACAGGCCCCAGUGUGUGAUGUUCCCCUUCCUGUGUCCAAGUGUUCUCAUUGUUCAAUUCCCACCUAUGAGUGAGAACAUGCGGUGUUUGCUUUUUUGUCCUUGCGAUAGCUCUAUCUGAUCUUUGACAAACCUGAGAAAAACAAGCAAUGGGGAAAGGAUUCCCUAUUUAAUAAAUGGUGCUGGGAAAACUGGCUAGCCAUAUGUAGAAAGCUGAAACUGCAAAGACAAAAGCCACAUGAUUAUCUCAAUAGAUGCAGAAAAAGCCUUUGACAAAAUUCAACAACGCUUCAUGCUAAAAACUCUCAAUAAAUUAGGUAUUGAUGGGACGUAUUUCAAAAUAAUAAGAGCUAUCUAUGACAAACCCACAGCCAAUAUCAUACUGAAUGGGCAAAAACUGGAAGCAUUCCCUUUGAAAACUGGCACAGGACAGGGAUGCCCUCUCUCACCACUCCUAUUCAACAUAGUGUUGGAAGUUCUGGCCAGGGCAAUUUGGCAGGAGAAGGAAAUAAAGGGUAUUCAAUUAGGUUUUUAAAAUAUUUUUGAGACUUGUUGUGUGGUCCAACGUGUCAUCAGUCCUGGAGAACGUUCUGUGUGCUGAUGAAAAGACUGUGUGUUCUUCAGCUGUUGGGUGAAAUGUUCUGUAAAUGUCUGAUGGGUCAAUUUGGUCUAUGGUGCACUUUAAAUCCAAUGUUUCUUUGUUGACUUUUUGUCUCGAUAGAUGAUCUGUCCAAUGCUAAAAGUAAGCUAUUUAAGCCCCCAACU
rnacentral:lncRNA from 1 species